GCGAAUGGCUCAUUAAAUCAGCUAUGGUUUAUUGGAUCAUACCCGUUAAAUGGAUAACUGUAAUAACUCUAGAGCUAAUACAUGCCACGAAGCCCUGACCCCUGCGGGAAUGGGUGCACUUAUUAGAUCAGAAGCCAACCGUGUGCGGCCGCAAGGCUGUGCGCGUUGUCCUUUUGGUGACUCUGGAUAAUUGUUACAGAUCGCAGUCGGCCUUGAGUCGGCGACGGGUCCUUCAAAUGUCUGCCCUAUCAACUUUCGAUGGUAGGUGACCUGCCUACCAUGGUGAUAACGGGUAACGGGGAAUCAGGGUUCGAUUCCGGAGAGGGAGCCUGAGAAACGGCUACCACUUCCAAGGGAGGCAGCAGGCGCGCAAAUUACCCACUCCCAGUACGGGGAGGUGGUGACGAAAAAUACCGAUGCGGGACUCAUCUUGAGGCUCCGUAAUCGGAAUGAGUGAACUAUAAAUCCUUUCACGAGGAUCAAUUGGAGGGCAAGUCUGGUGCCAGCAGCCGCGGUAACUCCAGCUCCAAUAGCGUAUAUUAAAGUUGCUGCAGUUAAAAAGCUCGUAGUUGGAUCUCGGUGGCAUAGCUGCCUGUCAGUCUCUGGACUUGUGACUGCAGCGCAUGGGCCCCAGCCUGUGCUGCUUGCGGAUGCUCGUUCGAAUUGGCGCGGUGGCGGUGUAACCUUUCAGCCAUGUCUGUGGUGCAAUACCCACAGGUGUAGGCGAGUGUCGGACUGUGCCUUGCCCUCUGUGGUGGGGUGCGUCGGCUCGUUUGCAUGCCUUAGGAUGCCCUUCAAAAGGUGUCUCUGGGCGGAUGGCACGUUUACUUUGAACAAAUUUGAGUGCUCAAACCAGGCCGAUGUUGCCUGAAAAGUUUUGCAUGGAAUAAUGGAAUAGGACUUCGGUUCUAUUUCGUUGGUUUUCGGAUCCGAAGUAAUGAUCAAAAGAGACAGGCGGGGACGUUUGUAUGGCUGCGCUAGAGGUGAAAUUCAUGGACCGUAGCCAGACAAACUAAAGCGAAAGCAUUCGUCAAGCAUGUUUUCAUUGGCCAUGAGCGAAAGUCAGAGGCUCGAAGACGAUCAGAUACCGUCCUAGUUCUGACCAUAAACGAUGCCAACUGACGAUCCGUGUUGGUAGUCUAUCAACCUUCCACACGGGCAGUCCCCGGGAAACCUUUAAGUCUUUGGGUUCCGGGGGAAGUAUGGUUGCAAAGCUGAAACUUAAAGGAAUUGACGGAAGGGCACCACCAGGAGUGGAGCCUGCGGCUUAAUUUGACUCAACACGGGAAAACUCACCCGGCCCGGACACUAUGAGGAUUGACAGAUUGAUAGCUCUUUCUUGAUUUGGUGGUUGGUGGUGCAUGGCCGUUCUUAGUUGGUGGAGCGAUUUGUCUGGUUAAUUCCGAUAACGAACGAGACUCCAGCCUGCUAAUUAGUGCAUCUGUCCACUGUUCCUGUGUAGGCGGCGUUAGACAAGGUUGCGCCUGUAUCUGCUCUGGGGUUUGGCCUUCGGGUUGGCCUUGGGGUGGUUGGGUGUCGACUGGUUCUGCGUCAGCUUCCGGGUACGGCGCGGGUGUAUACUUCUUAGAGGGACAAGCGGGAGAAGCCGCACGAAAUUGAGCAAUAACAGGUCUGUGAUGCCCUUAGAUGUCCGGGGCCGCACGCGCGCUACAAUGACGGUGGCAACGAGUCUGACCUUCUGAUCCGAAAGGAUUGGGCAAACUGGUCAAUCACCGUCAUGACAGGGAUCGGGGCUUGGAAUUGUUCCCCGUGAACGAGGAAUUCCUAGUAAGUGCAAGUCAUAAGCUUGCGCUGAUUACGUCCCUGCCCUUUGUACACACCGCCCGUCGCUACUACCGAUUGAAUGGUUUAGUAAGGUCCUUGGAUUGGCGCUACUGUGGUAAUUGCCGAAAGGUGAGAACCCGAAGGUGCUGAGAAGACGACCAAACUUGAUCAUUUAGAGGAAGUAAAAGUCGUAACAAG
rnacentral:rRNA from 1 species